AUUGAACGCUGGCGGCAUGCCUUACACAUGCAAGUCGAACGGCAGCGGACCUUCGGGUGCCGGCGAGUGGCGAACGGGUGAGUAAUAUAUCGGAACGUACCUUUCAGUGGGGGAUAACGUAGCGAAAGUUACGCUAAUACCGCAUAUUCUGUGAGCAGGAAAGCAGGGGAUCGCAAGACCUUGCGCUGAUUGAGCGGCCGAUAUCAGAUUAGCUAGUUGGUGAGGUAAAGGCUCACCAAGGCGACGAUCUGUAGCGGGUCUGAGAGGAUGAUCCGCCACACUGGAACUGAGACACGGUCCAGACUCCUACGGGAGGCAGCAGUGGGGAAUUUUGGACAAUGAGCGUAAGCCUGAUCCAGCCAUGCCGCGUGAGUGAAGAAGGCCUGGUGUAAG
rnacentral:rRNA from 1 species